AACGAACGCUGGCGGCAUGCCUAACACAUGCAAGUCGAACGAGACCUUCGGGUCUAGUGGCGCACUGGUGCGUAACGCGUGGGAACCUGCCCUUAGGUUCGUAAUCACUCCCCGAAAGGGGUGCUAAUACCGGAUAAUGUCUUCGGACCAAAGAUUUAUCGCCUUUGGAUGGGCCAGCGUUGGAUUAGCUAGUUGGUAGGGUAAAAGCCUACCAAGGCGACGAUCCAUAGCUGGUCUGAGAGGAUGAUCAGCCACACUGGGACUGAGACACGGCCCAGACUCCUACGGGAGGCAGCAGUGGGGAAUAUUGGACAAUGGGCGAAAGCCUGAUCCAGCAAUGCCGCGUGAGUGAUGAAGGCCUUAGGGUUGUAAAGCUCUUUUACCCGGGAUGAUAAUGACAGUACCGGGAGAAUAAGCUCCGGCUAACUCCGUG
rnacentral:rRNA from 1 species